rnacentral:misc_RNA from 1 species
GAUGAAGAACGUAGCAAAAUGCGAUAAGUAAUGUGAAUUGCAGAAUUCAGUGAAUCAUCGAAUCUUUGAACGCACAUUGCGCCCCCUGGUAUUCCGGGGGGCAUGCCUGUCCGAGCGUCAUUGCUGCCCUCAAGCACGGCUUGUGUGUUGGGCCUCCGUCCUCCUCCCGGGGGACGGGCCCGAAAGGCAGCGGCGGCACCGCGUCCGGUCCUCGAGCGUAUGGGGCUUCGUCACCCGCUCUUGUAGGCCCGGCCGGCGCUUGCCGACACAUCAAUCUUUUUUCCAGGUUGACCUCGGAUCAGGUAGGGAUACCCGCUGAACUUAAGCAUAUCAAUAAGCGGAGGA